rnacentral:rRNA from 1 species
UACGUAGGGGGCAAGCGUUGUCCGGAAUCAUUGGGCGUAAAGAGCGUGUAGGCGGCUCGGUAAGUCCGCUCUGAAAGCCCGGGGCUCAACCCCGGGAGGCGGGCGGAUACUGUCGGGCUAGAGUCCGGAAGAGGCGAGUGGAAUUCCUGGUGUAGCGGUGAAAUGCGCAGAUAUCAGGAGGAACACCAAUGGCGAAGGCAGCUCGCUGGGACGGUACUGACACUGAGGAGCGAAAGCGUGGGGAGCGAACAGG